rnacentral:rRNA from 1 species
UACGUAGGGUGCGAGCGUUGUCCGGAAUUAUUGGGCGUAAAGAGCUUGUAGGCGGUUUGUCGCGUCUGCUGUGAAAAUCCGGGGCUCAACCCCGGACUUGCAGUGGGUACGGGCAGGCUUGAGUGUGGUAGGGGAGACUGGAAUUCCUGGUGUAGCGGUGGAAUGCGCAGAUAUCAGGAGGAACACCGAUGGCGAAGGCAGGUCUCUGGGCCACUACUGACGCUGAGAAGCGAAAGCAUGGGGAGCGAACAGG